rnacentral:rRNA from 1 species
CAAUAGCGUAUAUUAAAGUUGUUGCAGUUAAAAAGCUCGUAGUUGGAUUUCUGGUGGGAGCGAUCGGUCUGGCGCUUAGCGCGAGUACUUGCAUCGUCUCCGGCCAUCCUUGGGGAGAGUCUGUCUGGCAUUAGGUUGUCGGGCAGGGGAUCCUCAUCGUUUACUGUGAAAAAAUUAGAGUGUUCAAAGCAGGCUUAUGCCGUUGAAUAUAUUAGCAUGGAAUAAUAAGAUAGGACUUUGGUACUAUUUUGUUGGUUUGCGCACCAAAGUAAUGAUUAAUAGGAACAGUUGGGGGUAUUCGUAUUCCGUUGUCAGAGGUGAAAUUCUUGGAUUUACGGAAGACGAACUACUGCGAAAGCAUUUACCAAGGAUGUUUUCAUUAA